GAUCAGUUUCAGUUGUGUGUGCCAGCAGGUCCCAGGGCCUGCAGAUCCCUCCUGGCAGCCAAAGCAGGGCAAUUGGCCUGCAUGCACUUCUUUUGUGCUAAAUCAGAAGAACCCCACCUCCCCUCUGCAGGGGACAAAUAUAGUAGUGGGAUUGGCCAGGUGCCAUAUGCCACACAUGCUCAAGCAGGACAAAGGAGUACACAAUGAGUCUGAAACUGGGAAAGAUAAUCCCACACAAGGCAGCAAGUCCAGUACAAGCCAUAAGAAUCCUUUAUCUCAUGGUUUCCUGGCUUUCCUUCAGAGCUGUUUGCUUUCAAGCUGCUAGAUUCCUCCAAACCAGGUUAUACUGAACAUGCAAGUGGGAUGACCCAAGUAAAUGUUUCGUGUGAUGCAGCUCCUCGAAAUCUACAAAUUCAGCAUGAGGCUCUUACAAAUAGUAAAGGAUGUUGGCUUAUGGUAGAGGCUCCUCCUGAGACUACAGAAGAGGUAUGUUCAAGUGAAAGGUGGGAAAAUUGCAGAUGUCUCAGAAAGUUAAGGGAAUGUUACAAUUGGAAUAGGUAGAGAAAACAUGAGUGUAAUAAUAAGAAAAAAAAUCUUGAGGUUUUAUGGCUGGCAACUAAAAAUAAGUUCUGAGAAACCAAACAUACUGACCUAACUAACAAAGAAGAAAAACUUACCUGUUCAGGUAAAGAUGUCUUUAGUGUGACUUUAUACACUCUAUAUUAAAUCAAUUUAAACAGUAUUAACUGGGCAAUAAAACAAUACCAAAAUUAUGAUAAGGUCUGGUA
rnacentral:lncRNA from 12 species